AAAUUGAAGAGUUUGAUCAUGGCUCAGAUUGAACGCUGGCGGCAGGCCUAACACAUGCAAGUCGAACGGUAACAGGAAGAAGCUUGCUUCUUUGCUGACGAGUGGCGGACGGGUGAGUAAUGUCUGGGAAACUGCCUGAUGGAGGGGGAUAACUACUGGAAACGGUAGCUAAUACCGCAUAACGUCGCAAGACCAAAGAGGGGGACCUUCGGGCCUCUUGCCAUCGGAUGUGCCCAGAUGGGAUUAGCUAGUAGGUGGGGUAACGGCUCACCU
rnacentral:rRNA from 1 species